CAUAAACAAAAUAAGACAAUACAACAGGGACUAAUGAUGCAAAAAAAUGAAAUAUUUGCUUGGUCUAUAUUGCACAUUUUAAAGUAUCGGGGUAAAUUCGUGAAGAAACUUAAACUGAUUAAAAGUUUGAGACAAAUUGGAGAAUAAGAAAGAAUGGGAGGACCAUAGUUGCAAAUAAUCAAAAAUUGUCCAUUGUUGCUCCUAUCAAGCUUUCUCUUUCAUCUGCAACUGAAGCCAUGACCAUUCAUGCGACCAUAACUCCUAUCACGAGCAUGUAGACCACAUCGAGAAGGAGACGACUUGACUUUGAACCGGAUUACGGUAGAGCUCUGUCGAAAUUUUGUUCACAUUUUGAGGUCAUGGAAAACAGAGCUCUCCGGCUGCUCCAUCACGUUUUCUCUCCGGAGUCUCCGGUGCUCCGCAACUGAAACCAUGGCAAUUAUGGCGGCGAUACUCUGGAAUGAAACUCGCGAUUUGAGGUCCGCCACGUUUUUUCUAGAUGCUCCAUCACUUCCAUAUAACAUAUUUGUCUCGGAUUCCAUAGCGUACAAAUUAAAAUAAAUUUAACAGUUACAAAUUAAAAAAAAAAAGUAGAUCUUUUUCAUUUAAGCUUUUGAAAUUCAAACACAAUAAAAAAUGUGACUAAAAUACAGAUUAAAAAUUGU
rnacentral:lncRNA from 1 species